GAUGAAGAACGCAGUGAAAUGCGAUAACUAAUGUGAAUUGCAGAAUUCAGUGAAUCAUCGAGUCUUUGAACGCACAUUGCGCCCCCUGGUAUUCCGGGGGGCAUGCCUGUCCGAGCGUCAUUGCUGCCCUCAAGCACGGCUUGUGUGUUGGGCUCCGCCCCCCCGGGGACGGGCCCGAAAGGCAGCGGCGGCACCGAGUCCGGUCCUCGAGCGUAUGGGGCUUUGUCACCCGCUCUGUAGGCCCGGCCGGCGCCAGCCGACAACCCAUCAUCCUUUUCAGGUUGACCUCGGAUCAGGUAGGGAUACCCGCUGAACUUAAGCAUAUCAAUAAGCGGAGGA
rnacentral:misc_RNA from 1 species